rnacentral:rRNA from 1 species
UACGGAGGGGGUUAGCGUUGUUCGGAAUUACUGGGCGUAAAGCGCGCGCAGGCGGAUUAGAAAGUUGGGGGUGAAAUCCCGGGGCUCAGCCUCGGAACUGCCUCCAAAACUGCUAGUCUAGAGUUCGAGAGAGGUGAGUGGAAUUCCGAGUGUAGAGGUGAAAUUCGUAGAUAUUCGGAGGAACACCAGUGGCGAAGGCGGCUCACUGGCUCGAUACUGACGCUGAGGUGCGAAAGUGUGGGGAGCAAACAGG